AAGUGGACAUGAUUGUCCAGUGAUCUGCAAAGCAGAGAUUAGGUAAGCUGGGCAAGAAAGAUCAGAUGGUGUAACCAUAGUUAUAGUCAAGCCAUAACUGUGGCAUCAGAUAGGUAACCAAAAAGCCUGUCCCAAAUAAAACAUCAUUUGCCCCUAGCGCAUGCACCCAAAGAAUACAAACUUAACAUAUCAGUCUCCACACGGUAAAUUUGCUGAUUAGUAAUUAGGAGAGUUAUCUAUACGUCAUAUGCACUACUCAAAGGAUUGAUAUUCCCAAUUUCACAAGUAUUAGUUAGUUCAUUCUAUCUGGUUAAAUCCCAUUGAAAGAGAAUGAUUUUGUUU
rnacentral:misc_RNA from 1 species